GACGAACGCUGGCGGCGUGCUUAACACAUGCGGGUCGUACGGUAAGGCCCUUUCGGGGGUACACGAGUGGCGAACGGGUGAGUAACACGUGAGUAACCUGCCCACAACUUUGGGAUAACGCUAGGAAACUGGUGCUAAUACUGGAUAUGUGCUCCUGCUGCAUGGUGGGGGUUGGAAAGCUCCGGCGGUUGUGGAUGGACUCGCGGCCUAUCAGCUUGUUGGUGGGGUAGUGGCCUACCAAGGCGGCGACGGGUAGCCGGCCUGAGAGGGUGACCGGCCACAUUGGGACUGAGAUACGGCCCAGACUCCUACGGGAGGCAGCAGUGGGGAAUAUUGCACAAUGGGCGCAAGCCUGAUGCAGCAACGCCGCGUGCGGGAUGACGGCCUUCGGGUUGUAAACCGCUUUCAGCAGGGACGAAGCUUUUUGUGACGGUACCUGCAGAAGAAGCACCGGCUAACUACGUG
rnacentral:rRNA from 1 species